rnacentral:rRNA from 1 species
UUGGGGGAUCUUGCGCAUGGGCGAAGCCUGAGCAGCGACGCCGCGUGAGGGAUGACGGCCUUCGGGUUGUAAACCUCUUUCAGCUCCGACGAAGCGGAAGUGACGGUAGGAGCAGAAGAAGCACCGGCCAACUACGUGCCAGCACCCGGGGUUAUACGUAGGGUGCACGCUUUGUCCGGAAUUAUUGGGCGUAAAGAGCUCGUAGGCGGUCUGUCGCGUCGGCUGUGAAAACUCGGGGCUCAACUCCGAGCUUGCAGUCGAUACGGGCAGGCUAGAGUUCGGCAGGGGAGACUGGUAUUCCUGGUGUAGCGGGGGAAAUGCCCAAAUAUAAGGGGGAACACCGGUGGCGGAGGCGUCCGGUGGGCCUGUCCUGACGCUGGGGAGCUAUGGCGUGACGAGAGAAAUUACUGGUAGUCCGGCCCCCACAUUGGUGCUAGGUUGUGAUCGCUUCCUCGUUUCUUUCCGCCAUCAACAAUAUCCCCCCCCCCCCUCGGUUUUGGCGCGGGCGAAAAUAAAAAAAUUGA